rnacentral:rRNA from 1 species
ACGCUGACAGAAUGCUUAACACAUGCAAGUCUUUGGCGAAGCUGUGCUUGCACAGCCUAGCCAAGGCGGACGGGUGAGUAACGCGUAAGGAACUUGCCCUGCAGUCAGGGAUAACAGACGGAAACGACUGAUAAGACCUGGUAAAGUCAGGCGGACUCAUGUCCAGCCUGAUGAAAAGAGAUGCUGCAGGAGAGCCUUGCGUCCUAUUAGCUUGUUGGUGGGGUAACGGCCCACCAAGGCGAUGAUAGGUAGCCGGCCUGAGGGGGUGGACGGCCACAAGGGGACUGAGAUACGGCCCUUACUCCUACGGGAGGCAGCAGUGGGGAAUAUUGGACAAUGGGGGCAACCCUGAUCCAGCAAUUCUGUGUGCACGAUGAAGGUUUUCGGAUUGUAAAGUGCUUUCAGCAGGGAAGAAAAAAAUGACGGUACCUGCAGAAGAAGCGACGGCUAAAUACGUGCCAGCAGCCGCGGUAAUACGUAUGUCGCAAGCGUUAUCCGGAAUUAUUGGGCAUAAAGGGCAUCUAGGCGGCCAGAUAAGUCUGGGGUGAAAACUUGCGGCUCAACCGCAAGCCUGCCCUGGAAACUAUGUGGCUAGAGUACUGGAGAGGUGGACGGAACUGCACGAGUAGAGGUGAAAUUCGUAGAUAUGUGCAGGAAUGCCGAUGAUGAAGAUAGUUCACUGGACGGUAACUGACGCUGAAGUGCGAAAGCUAGGGGAGCAAACAGGAUUAGAUACCCUGGUAGUCCUAGCUGUAAACGAUGAUUACUGGGUGUGGGCAUGAAGAGUGUCCGUGCCGAAGCUAAUGCGAUAAGUAAUCCGCCUGGGGAGUACGGCCGCAAGGCUGAAACUCAAAGGAAUUGACGGGGACCCGCACAAGCGGUGGAGCAUGUGGUUUAAUUCGACGCAACGCGA